GAAAAGACAGAUGAAGAGGAAGGAUGUGGUGUCCAAGAGGACAGUGACAGAGCAUAGGAUCUCUAUGAGCUGUAAUAGAGCAGAACAGAGUCAAGUACAGCUUUGACCUUUCCUGAAGAUGUCUUCUCAAUGGCAAGAUCUAUUUAGCUGGAAUGAGUAAAAGAAACUUGAAUAACUUAAAAAAAAUAAGAAUGGCGCUCUCCUUACAGAAAACUUGGUCUCUUUAUGCCUGGAUAAUUAAUAUCCUCACAAGCCUUCUCGUGCUUUGGGGAUUUAUGAAUUUAUUUAUUCAGAAGGUCUCCUGCCUACUAGAAUCCCAAUGUGACUUAGUGUAUCUGAGUGGUCCUACCAACAUCAUCAAGAUUACUCACCAUCUGAGUAGCUAUAUGCGUACUUUGCUGGAGGAGACCUCCAGGGUCUGAUCCUUGAAGAUAACAAGCACUGUUUGGGUU